UUUUAUGGAGAGUUUGAUCCUGGCUCAGGAUGAACGCUGGCGGCGUGCCUAAUACAUGCAAGUCGAGCGAACGGACGAGAAGCUUGCUUCUCUGAUGUUAGCGGCGGACGGGUGAGUAACACGUGGAUAACCUACCUAUAAGACUGGGAUAACUUCGGGAAACCGGAGCUAAUACCGGAUGAUAUUUUGAACCGCAUGGUUCAAAAGUGAAAGACGGUCUUGCUGUCACUUAUAGAUGGAUCCGCGCUGCAUUAGCUAGUUGGUAAGGUAACGGCUUACCAAGGCAACGAUGCAUAGCCGACCUGAGAGGGUGAUCGGCCACACUGGAACUGAGACACGGUCCAGACUCCUACGGGAGGCAGCAGUAGGGAAUCUUCCGCAAUGAGCGAAAGCCUGACGGAGCAA
rnacentral:rRNA from 1 species